AAAGUCGUAACAAGGUUUCCGUAGGUGAACCUGCGGAAGGAUCAUUAUUGAAUACUAUCGAGCGCUGUGCUUGGCCUUUCGGGGCAUGUGCACGCGUUCUUUAUUAUAUCUAUCUCUUGUGAACCUAGUGUGGGCUUUGGAGGAACAGUUGGUCUUUGUGCCUUCUGGGAUUCUGAAGACCAUUUUUAUAAACAUUUAAAAAGUUAGCAGAAUGUCUUCUUUUUACUUCGGUAAAAAUAAAACCUAUACAACUUUCAGCAACGGAUCUCUUGGCUCUC
rnacentral:misc_RNA from 1 species